rnacentral:tRNA from 1 species
GCCCUUGUAGUGUAAUGGAUAGCACAUCAGGUUUCUACCCUGAGAGUUCGGGUUCGAGUCCUGGCAAGGGCG